UACGUAGGGUGCAAGCGUUGUCCGGAAUUAUUGGGCGUAAAGAGCUCGUAGGCGGUUUGUUGCGUCGGCUGUGAAAUCCCGAGGCUCAACCUCGGGUCUGCAGUCGAUACGAGCAAACUAGAGUGUUGCAGGGGGAGACUGGAAUUCCUGGUGUAGCGGUGAAAUGCGCAGAUAUCGGGAGGAACACCAGUGGCGAAGGCGGCACUCUGGGCCGGUACUGACGCUGAGGAGCGAAAGCGUGGGGAGCGAACAGG
rnacentral:rRNA from 1 species